AGUGAACGCUGGCGGUAGGCCUAACACAUGCAAGUCGAACGGCAGCACAGUAAGAGCUUGCUCUUACGGGUGGCGAGUGGCGGACGGGUGAGGAAUACAUCGGAAUCUACUUUUUCGUGGGGGAUAACGUAGGGAAACUUACGCUAAUACCGCAUACGACCUACGGGUGAAAGCAGGGGAUCUUCGGACCUUGCGCGAUUGAAUGAGCGGAUGUCGGAUUAGCUAGUUGGCGGGGUAAAGGCCCACCAAGGCGACGAUCCGUAGCUGGUCUGAGAGGAUGAUCAGCCACACUGGAACUGAGACACGGUCCAGACUCCUACGGGAGGCAGCAGUGGGGAAUAUUGGACAAUGGGCGCAAGCCUGAUCCAGCCAUACCGCGUGGGUGAAGAAGGCCUUCGGGUUGUAAAGCCCUUUUGUUGGGAAAGAAAAGCAGCAGGUUAAUACCCCGCUGUUCUGACGGUACCCAAAGAAUAAGCACCGGCUAACUUCGU
rnacentral:rRNA from 1 species